UUCCACCCAUCCAUCCAUCCACCCACCCACACUUCCACGCAUCCAUCAUCCUUCCAAGCAUGCAGUAGGAGGUCAAUUAACAGCUCAGUGAGGAGCGGGGCACCCCUAAACCAUUAUUGUGGUUGGGAGCUAGGCAAAGACACACCCAGUAGUUGCAUGUAGUGUUCAUGAUUGACAACUUGCAAGUGAAUGGUUCCUGAAUCCUGGGCUGUGAUGUGAGAAAGAGAGAUGGGAUGAAUUUCAAGGACUGAUUACAAAGGUUCACAGGGAGCUGCUAAAAUUUAAUCAGAAGAGUGUCUGCCUUUCUCCCCAGACUGGGCGAGAGCUGCUCGGGGAAGGCAGAGGCUCGUGUAAACUGUCCUUCCACAGAGUUCUUGCUAUGGAGCUUUUCCUCGCAGUGAUGCCCACUGCAUCACAGAGCUGCCAUUCUGAUAGUUCUUGCUUUCUUCUUAAACAAACUAAGGCUAAGUUCCCCAGAGAGUUUCCAUUGAAAGAUGCCCCCCAAAUUGGAGAACUCGGUGGAAAUCAAGAUCUGAAAUCAUUCCUUUGCUCCCCAAAUGUUGUAUUCUAGUAUUUUCCUGGUUGCAGGAAUUCUGACUGAAAUGUACUCAUUUCUUUUCUUUUCUUUUUUUUUGGCCGAGCCGUGCAGCACGUGGGACCUUAGUUCCCCAGCCAGGGUUCAAACCCACACCCCCUGCAUUGGAAGCACGGAGUCUUAACCACUGCAUCGCCAGGGAAGUCCCCUGAAAUGUACUCAUAUCUAAUGUUAAUUUGAGUUGUGUUUCUUUUUAAAAAUGCCCCCCACUUCCCUUCUGAAUGUCAGGUGGCACACUCAUUAGUCGUCUGGAAUAAGUCUGUCUCCAGCUGAAUGAGACUUGGAAAGAGGAAAUAGGGGGCAGUGGUUAGAGCCCUGAGUGGUCAGGAGUCCUGGUUCCCAUGUCUUACUCUGCCACUGAGUCACUUGCUGCCACUGGACAAGCGACUUGGUUUUUCGGAGUUACCGCCUAACUGCCUAAGAUCAUGCAAUGCCUUCAUGCGUGCCCCCAGGGCUGACUGCUUCCACUGCCCUGACCUUAGUAUACCACUGAUUCCACUAAACCGCUGUGGUAUCAGAGGCAAGAAUGUUGUGCCUGAUAUGAUAUGCUGGACCAUCGGAGCACCAACACUACACUUUGUCAAGCUGGAGCUCCAUCAGUGAGACACUUCAACAGUGACUGGCUACAUUGGAUCUUCGUCGCUGUGCACGGGCUUUCUCCAGUUGCGGAGAAUGGGGGCCACUCUUCGUUCGGGCACUCAGGUCCUUCAUUGCGGUGCCUUCUCUUGUUGCGGAGCACGGGCUCCAGGCUCCCGGGCUUCAGUAGUCGUGGCUCGGGAGCUCCAGAGUGCAGGCUCAGCAGCCGUGGCGCACGGGCCCAGGGCCCAGCUGUUCCGCGGGAUCUUCCGGAACCAGGGCUCAAACGUGCGUCCCCUGAAUU